GAUGAACGCUGGCGGCGUGCCUAAUACAUGCAAGUCGAGCGAACGGACGAGAAGCUUGCUUUUCUGAUGUUAGCGGCGGACGGGUGAGUAACACGUGGAUAACCUACCUAUAAGACUGGGAUAACUUCGGGAAACCGGAGCUAAUACCGGAUAAUAUUUUGAACCGCAUGGUUCAAAAGUGAAAGACGGUCUUGCUGUCACUUAUAGAUGGAUCCGCGCUGCAUUAGCUAGUUGGUAAGGUAACGGCUUACCAAGGCAACGAUGCAUAGCCGACCUGAGAGAGUGAUCGGCCACACUGGAGCUGAGACACGGUCCAGGCUCCUACGGGAGGCAGCAGUAGGGAAUCUUCCGCAAUGGGCGAAAGCCUGACGGAGCAACGCCGCGUGAGUGAUGAAGGUCUUCGGAUCGUAAAACCCUGUUAUUAGGGAAGAACAUAUGUGUAAGUAACUGUGCACAUCUUGACGGUACCUAAUCAGAAAGCCACGGCUAACUACGUG
rnacentral:rRNA from 1 species